rnacentral:rRNA from 1 species
UUUUUCGAGAGUUUGAUCCUACCAGGAUGAACGCUGGUACCAGCGCCUAAUACAUGCAUGUCGAGCGGUGUUCUUUUAGAACUUAGCAGCGAAUGGGUGAGUAACACGUACUUAACGUACCUUUUAGUUUGGAAUAACGGUGAGAAAUUAUCGCUAAUGCUGAUAUUUUUUUAUUUCACAUGAAAUUUAAAUAAAAGGAACUUCAAAGUUUCACUAAAAGAUCGGGGUGCGGAACAUUAGCUAGUUGGUAGGGUAAAAAGCCUACCAAGGCGAUGAUGUUUAGCGGGGUUGAGAGACUGAUCCGCCACACUGGGACUGAGAUACUACCAGACUCCUACGGGAGGCAGCAGUAGGGAAUUUUCCACAAUGGGCGAUGAAAGCCUGAUGGAGCGACACAGCGUGCAGGAUAAGGCCUUCGGGUUGUAAACUGCUGUUAUAAGGGAAGAAAAAAUAUUAUAAGAAAAGAUAAUAUCUUGACGGUACCUUAUCAGAAAGCAACAUUUAACUAUGCGCCAGCAAAGCUUACUGCGGUAAUACAUAGGUUGCAAGCGUUAUCCGGAAUUAUUGGGCGUAAAGCGUCUGUAGGUUGUGUGUUAAGUCUGGCGUCAAAACUUAAAACUCAACCCCAAAUCGCGUUGGAUAUUUAAGACGCUAGAAUUGUAUAGAGGUUAGCGGAAUUCCUAGUGAAGCGGUGAAAUGCGUAGAUAUUAGGAAGAACACCAACACAAGCUGAAGGCGAGCUAACUGGGUACAUAUUGACACUGAGAGACGAAAGCGUGGGGAGCAAACAGGAUUAGAUACCCUGGUAGUCCACGCUGUAAACGAUGAUGAUUAGCUGAUAGAGAAUCUAUCUAAGACAGCUAACGCAUUAAAUCAUCCGCCUGAGUAGUAUGCUCGCAAGAGUGAAACUUAAAGGAAUUGACGGGGAUCCGCACAAGCGGUGGAGUACGUGGUUUAAUUUGAAGAUACGCGUAGAACCUUACCCACUCUUGACAUCUUCUGCAAAGCUAUAGAGAUAUAGUGGAGGUCAACAGAAUGACAGAUGGUGCGUGGUUGUCGUCAGCUCGUGUCGUGAGAUGUUCGGUUAAGUCCUGCAACGAGCGCAACCCUUGUCCUUAGUUAAAUAUUCUAGGGAGACUGCCUGAGUAAUUGGGAGGAAGGUGGGGACGACGUCAAAUCAUCACGCCUCUUACGAGUGUAAGAACACACGUGCUACAAUGGAUGGUACAAAGAGAAGCAAUACGGCGACGUUGAGCAAAUCCCAAAAAACCAUUCUCAGUUCGGAUUGUAGUCUGCAACUCGACUACAUUGAAGUCGGAAUCGCUAGUAAUCGUAGAUCAGCUACGCUACGGUGAAUACGUUCUCGGGUCUUGUACACACCGCCCGUCACACCGUGGAGCUGGUAAUGCCUGAAGUCGGUUUUGUUAACUACGGAGACAAUCGCCGCAAGGCGAGGUCGGUGACUGGGGUGAAGUCGUAACAAGGUAUCCCUACGAGAACGUGGGGAUGGAUUACCUCCUUU